CCCUUAGAUGUCCUGGGCUGCACGCGCGCUACACUGAUGUGUCCAGUAAGCACCUAACCUCUUCCGAAAGGAACGGGUAACCUUUGCAAAGCACAUCGUGAUGGGGAUAGAUUAUUGCAAUUAUUAGUCUUGAACGAGGAAUUCCUAGUAAGCACAAGUCAUCAGCUUGUGUUGAUUACGUCCCUGCCCUUUGUACACACCGCCCGUCGCUCCUACCGAUUGAAUGUUCCGGUGAGCUCUUCGGACUGCGCGGUCUGCAGUUUCUGCGUUCCGUGCGGAAAGUUGCGCAAACCCUAACAUUUAGAGGAAGGAGAAGCCGUAACA
rnacentral:rRNA from 1 species